CUACUUUCUAUAUUAUAUAUAGUUCCUGUUGGCAUGCAUGAGAAAAUAAAUAUGAUCUGAAGUGUGUUAUUAAAACGAAAUGUUUUUAAAUAACAAGAAAAAACUUUAAUUAGAAGUUUGAAGUCAACUUUGAAGAGGGUGGCAUCCAGGAAGAGUAUCAGGUUUAUGUGAAUUCUUUGGAUCCUUUGGAUGCUGAACGGAAUAAAUAUAUUGAAAUCUGCUCUAGGACUUGUGGUUUGGUAGUUGAAAGAUAAAAACAAUCAGAAGGGACAUGUUUUUACAUAUGCAGCCGUCCUUAGAGAAAAUUUACCAUCAAUGAAAACCAGGGCUCUUCCAUUUUUCUCAUGUUUUGUCCCCAAAAAGUACUUUCCUCCAGUUGGGUUUCGUUUUCCUCUGUUAACACCCCAUUAUGAAUUAUCUUGGUAGUAACUUUGAUUUUUGACAGCAACUUAAACACUUAAAUUGGCUUCAUUUAUGCUUGCCCAUUGACGGAUAAAUUGUUUUCUUCCAUUAUUUACACGGCUAUUUCAAAACAAUAAAUAAAUAAACAAAAUAUAAUAAAUGAAUGAAGUCAAUGAACCUCAAAAGAAAUGGAUACCAAUCCAAUGUUUUCUUGAUUUAAACCACCAUCACUUUUUUGUGGAAGUGUAAAGGUUUGUUUUGGUGCCUGUAAAUCUCUAUUUCUUGUUUUUUGAGUAUCAUGAUAGAUAUUAAUACUGUUUCCCUGAUAUGACUGUCUAAGAAUAGUGGGCUUAACAACAAUAGCCUGUCAGGUUCUAUACCCAUGCCGCUGACUAAUAUUUCAUCUCUCCAUACUUUGGAAACAACAAUAACAUAAACUUGAAAUAUCUACUAAGGGAAACAUUUUAAUGAUUAGAUUUUAUUAAUGCAUUUUCUCUAUCAUUUCAAGUAUUAUUAUUAGAUUUUUUAAUCAAAUAGCUGUAUACAUGGAUGUGGUUGAAGCUUUAUCAUUACUGAAUAUUGAUAUUGUUGCAACCUACACUUUUGGUGGGGAUCAUUAUCAGUUCAUGGUUGGCUUGAAGUAUUUACCCUUAUCGUUGGAAUCUAAUGUUGGAUAUGUGGCUUGGCGCUGUAAACAUUCAUAUAUAUUACUACUAAUAUAGAGUACCAUGGUAUUGUGGAUGGGAGGGGCAUGCUUAUACACUGAAAAGUGAAAUCCUACUAAUCAGCUUUGUAAAAAUGCAUUGGACCACCAUUAGUAAAUAUCCAAUUUUCCCAUUUCGAGAUCUUAUUCAAGACUUUCUUCCACAUAUUAUGUUAUCUUUAUAACCAGUUCAUUGCUUUAUCUCACUGGGUGUUAUUGCUACAUGUAUCAUUCGACCCCAUAUCUUUGCAUAACAAUUAGCGUUUCUAAGUGAUGGAGAACUGUCAUUGAUAUGUUUGGGGAUUCUGUUAUAUUCGUAUAUAUGACUGUGUUGCUACGCCUCUUGCAUAAUAUGUUCUUAUGUAUGUCGAACCGUUGUUCUGUCCAAACAAAAAAGACAUGCUGAGCUGAGAAUCAAUUUGCUUUUCGAAAUAACUAGUCGUAGGACCUUGAGUUGGAUCAUACCGAACUGGUGAGAGUUGAGAGAUCACAUAAAAGUUGGUAUAGCUUGUGAAAAGGGUGAAAAUACUCCUAAUUGCAGCAACUUGAGCAAGACAUUCCAGAAGGGUGGAAGAGUUCCGUUUGAUCCUUUCAUACCAUUUAUGAUGAGUUUUAACAGAUCUCAUUGAAGAGAAGAUAGAAGCUAGUCUUGAAGAGUUUUUCAGUUCUUAUGGUGAGAUUAGUUUGGGGUAUAUUGUAAAAUUCAACUGAAAGAAUCCUUGGUGGUAUUGAAAAUAGAGUUUAGAUGCAUUGAAUGGAAUGCUUAGAUGUUACUCUCAUGGAGGUAACUAAUUUACUCUAUUGCGUGUGAACUGAAGUUUAUUUUGUUUGCGAUUGUUCCAGUUAGUCGUAAAUUUAAGUUAAUGGUGACUUAUUAGUGAGUUUUCAAGUGUGAACUGUUUUAUAUAAAUUCUACUGAAGGAUUUUAUCGAAUGCCUGUUUUUGGAUUAGUUUAGUGAAUUUACUUAGUUGUAAAGUGAGACGGAGAACAUAGAACUUUGAGUGUAUGAAGAAUAUGCUGAGUGGCAUUUGAGGACCUAUAAAGCUAAGUUGAUUUCUGUUUGUAAAUGGUACAAAUUUGAGUAAAUUCUGGCUUAUUAGUAGAGUGAAAUCUAAGCGUAAAUGGAUUAGUUUAUUUUGUAUUUAAAAUAGCUUGUAAUUAAAAUCUUGUUGGGAGAUCUUCAGGGGGAAUGUAUGAGGUUAGAUUGGAUUUAUUGGCUGUGAUUAGGUUUUCUAGAUAUUUUGAUAAUUAUAAAUUAUAAGUGAUAAUAAUAUUAUAUAGCUGUG
rnacentral:lncRNA from 1 species